rnacentral:misc_RNA from 1 species
GCGAUCUUGGUGGGACAAGGUGAGGAGCAGCAGAGGAUUGUAAUCCCUGUGAUUUACAUAAAUCACCCUCUCUUCAUGCACCUGCUUAAAGAAGCCGAGGAAGAGUAUGGUUUUGACCAGAAAGGCCUCAUCACUAUCCCUUGCCAUGUCGAGGAAUUUCGCAACGUUCAAGGGAUGAUCGACAAGGAAAAGCCCAAUCACGGCCACCACCAUGUUUUGUGCUUCAGGGUUUGAUUUUUAUCAUGUAACUGUGUAAAGUUUGUUCUCAAUUAAUCAUCCUUUUUCUUAUAUAUAUGUAUAUGUAUAUAUAUAUAUAUAAG